rnacentral:rRNA from 1 species
GCAAUGUGAGAAAUCGCGACGGGGGGAUCCCAAGUGCCAUUCUUAACGGGAUGGCUUUUCAUUAGUGUAAAGAGCUUUUGGAAUAAGGGCUGGGCAAGACCGGUGCCAGCCGCCGCGGUAACACCGGCAGCUCUAGUGGUAGCAGUUUUUAUUGGGCCUAAAGCGUCCGUAGCCGGUUUAAUAAGUCUCUGGUGAAAUCCUGUAGCUUAACUGUGGGAAUUGCUGGAGAUACUAUUAGACUUGAGACCGGGAGAGGUUAGAGGUACUCCCAGGGUAGAGGUGAAAUUCUGUAAUCCUGGGAGGACCGCCUGUUGCGAAGGCGUCUAACUGGAACGGUUCUGACGGUGAGGGACGAAAGUUAGGGGCGCGAACCGGAUUAGAUACCCGGGUAGUCCUAACCGUAAACGAUGCGGACUUGGUGUUGGGGUGGCUUUGAGCUGCUCCAGUGCCGAAGGGAAGCUGUUAAGUCCGCCGCCUGGGAAGUACGGUCGCAAGACUGAAACUUAA